CAAGCCUGUAAGAAUAAGCCUGAACACUGCAGUCCUGAUUCAACACUGUCUCACACACACACAGAGACAACACUGUCACACACGCGCGCGCAGACAACACUGUCUCACACAGAGACAACACUGUCACCCACAGAGACAACACUGUCACACACAGAGACAACACUGUCACCCACAGAGACAACACUGUCACACACACACACACACACAGACACAGACAACACUGUCACACACACACACACAGACACAGACAACACUGUCACACACACAGAGACAACACUGUCACACACACAGAGACAACACUGUCACACACACAGAGACAACACUGUCACACACACACACACACAGAGACAACACUGUCACACACACACACACAGAGACAACAAUGUCACACACACACACACAGAGACAACACUGUCACACACACAGAAACAACACUGUCACACACACACAGACACACACACACAGAGACACCACUGUCACACACACACAGACACACACACACAGACACCACUGUCACACACACAGAGACACACACACACACACACCACUG
ensembl:lncRNA